CCUAGGCCCCAGGGCUGGCCUCAUUUGUGCCUGGUGCCGGGAGGCAGUGGCGUCAUGUUGUGGGACUCAGUCUGUGGCAGCUACACCACCAGAAUCCACGACUGCAGAGCCUGACUUUGUAUAUGCCGGAGUGGUGGAGGUCCAGCAUGUGCAGCCCAAGUCAAAGCGGCGCAAAGGUUUGGCUGGCCGCGUGAGGAGCUGGGUACAAAAACGGAGGCGUAAAAAAAUUUGCCCCACUGCAAAUGAAGCUCCUCUUCAAGACCAGAAGAAAACCUUAAAGAGACGUGAAAACCUUAAAGAGACAUCACCUGACAUAGAGAAACAUGUCACCCAGUAUUGCCACCGUGCUGUUCAGGUCCCACAAGACCUCAGCCUGGAACACAUCAAGGAUGAUGAGCUACCC